AGUCGAGCGGGGUGAUGUAGCUUGCUACAUUACCUAGCGGCGGACGGGUGAGUAAUGCUUAGGAAUCUGCCUAUUAGUGGGGGACAACAUUCCGAAAGGAAUGCUAAUACCGCAUACGCCCUACGGGGGAAAGCAGGGGAUCUUCGGACCUUGCGCUAAUAGAUGAGCCUAAGUCAGAUUAGCUAGUUGGUGGGGUAAAGGCCUACCAAGGCGACGAUCUGUAGCGGGUCUGAGAGGAUGAUCCGCCACACUGGGACUGAGACACGGCCCAGACUCCUACGGGAGGCAGCAGUGGGGAAUAUUGGACAAUGGGCGAAAGCCUGAUCCAGCCAUGCCGCGUGUGUGAAGAAGGCCUUUUGGUUGUAAAGCACUUUAAGCGAGGAGGAGGCUACUUGGAUUAAUACUCUAGGAUAGUGGACGUUACUCGCAGAAUAAGCACCGGCUAACUCUGUGCCAGCAGCCGCGGUAAUACAGAGGGUGCGAGCGUUAAUCGGAUUUACUGGGCGUAAAGCGUGCGUAGGCGGCUUUUUAAGUCGGAUGUGAAAUCCCUGAGCUUAACUUAGGAAUUGCAUUCGAUACUGGGAAGCUAGAGUAUGGGAGAGGAUGGUAGAAUUCCAGGUGUAGCGGUGAAAUGCGUAGAGAUCUGGAGGAAUACCGAUGGCGAAGGCAGCCAUCUGGCCUAAUACUG
rnacentral:rRNA from 1 species